AGAGUUUGAUCCUGGCUCAGGAUGAACGCUAGCGGCAGGCCUAAUACAUGCAAGUCGAACGUGAUUGUUUUAGCAAUAGAACAUGAAAGUGGCGUACGGGUGCGUAACACGUAUGCAAUCUACCUUUUAAUAGGAGAAUAGCUUCGAGAAAUCGGAAUUAAUACUCCAUAACAUAAUUGAGUGGCAUCACUUGAUUAUCAAACCUCCGGGGAUUAGAGAUGAGCAUGCGCAACAUUAGCUAGUUGGUAAGGUAAUGGCUUACCAAGGCUACGAUGUUUAGGGGGUCUGAGAGGAUGAUCCCCCACACUGGUACUGAGACACGGACCAGACUCCUACGGGAGGCAGCAGUAGGGAAUAUUGGGCAAUGGAGGCAACUCUGACCCAGCCAUGCCGCGUGUAGGAAGAAUGCCCUCUGGGUUGUAAACUACUUUUAUACGGGAAGAAAAAAUACUACGUGUAGUAUACUGACGGUACCGUAAGAAUAAGGAUCGGCUAACUCCGUGCCAGCAGCCGCGGUAAUACGGAGGAUUCGAGCGUUGUCCGGAUUUAUUGGGUUUAAAGGGUGCGUAGGCGGAUUUUUAAGUCAGUGGUGAAAGCCUGCAG
rnacentral:rRNA from 1 species